rnacentral:sRNA from 1 species
UUUCUCGUGUUGUUAUCGGGUAGCUGCCUGCUCAGAACCCACAAAGCCUGCCCCUCAUCCCAGGCAGAGAGCAACCCAGCUCUUUCCCCAGACACUGAGAGCUGGUGGGGCCUGCUGUCCCCGGGAGAGUUGCAUCACCCUCCACAGAGCAGGCUUGCAUCUGACUGACCCACCAUGACACCCACAGACUUCACAGUGAGUACAGCCGUGCUCCUCUGGCUCCUCAAAACACACACUCGUCUUCCCUUUUUAGGGGGUGUGGGAAGGAUCCACUGUGGGGGAAGGAUUUAUCUGUGUAGUUUCCCAGGGUAAGAUCUCUGCCUGGCAAUGUCCAUUGCUGGGUAGGUUG